rnacentral:rRNA from 1 species
UAAUGCCUGGGAAUAUGCCUUGAUGUGGGGGAUAACCAUUGGAAACGAUGGCUAAUACCGCAUAAUCUCUACGGAGCAAAGAGGGGGACCUUCGGGCCUCUCGCGUCAAGAUUAGCCCAGGUGGGAUUAGCUAGUUGGUGAGGUAAAGGCUCACCAAGGCGACGAUCCCUAGCUGGUCUGAGAGGAUGAUCAGCCACACUGGAACUGAGACACGGUCCAGACUCCUACGGGAGGCAGCAGUGGGGAAUAUUGCACAAUGGGCGCAAGCCUGAUGCAGCCAUGCCGCGUGUGUGAAGAAGGCCUUCGGGUUGUAAAGCACUUUCAGUCGUGAGGAAGGUGGUGUAGUUAAUAGCUGCAUCAUUUGACGUUAGCGACAGAAGAAGCACCGGCUAACUCCGUGCCAGCAGCCGCGGUAAUACGGAGGGUGCGAGCGUUAAUCGGAAUUACUGGGCGUAAAGCGCAUGCAGGUGGUUAGUUAAGUC